CUAUACAUGCAAGUCGAGCGAAUGGAUUAAGAGCUUGCUCUUAUGAAGUUAGCGGCGGACGGGUGAGUAACACGUGGGUAACCUGCCCAUAAGACUGGGAUAACUCCGGGAAACCGGGGCUAAUACCGGAUAACAUUUUGAACCGCAUGGUUCGAAAUUGAAAGGCGGCUUCGGCUGUCACUUAUGGAUGGACCCGCGUCGCAUUAGCUAGUUGGUGAGGUAACGGCUCACCAAGGCAACGAUGCGUAGCCGACCUGAGAGGGUGAUCGGCCACACUGGGACUGAGACACGGCCCAAACUCCUACGGGAGGCAGCAGUAGGGAAUCUUCCGCAAUGGACGAAAGUCUGACGGAGCAACGCCGCGUGAGUGAUGAAGGCUUUCGGGUCGUAAAACUCUGUUGUUAGGGAAGAACAAGUGCUAGUUGAAUAAGCUGGCACCUUGACGGUACCUAACCAGAAAGCCACGGCUAACUACGUGCCAGCAGCCGCGGUAAUACGUAGGUGGCAAGCGUUAUCCGGAAUUAUUGGGCGUAAAGCGCGCGCAGGUGGUUUCUUAAGUCUGAUGUGAAAGCCCACGGCUCAACCGUGGAGGGUCAUUGGAAACUGGGAGACUUGAGUGCAGAAGAGGAAAGUGGAAUUCCAUGUGUAGCGGUGAAAUGCGUAGAGAUAUGGAGGAACACCAGUGGCGAAGGCGACUUUCUGGUCUGUAACUGACACUGAGGCGCGAAAGCGUGGGGAGCAAACAGGAUUAGAUACCCUGGUAGUCCACGCCGUAAACGAUGAGUGCUAAGUGUUAGA
rnacentral:rRNA from 1 species